CUGGAAAUGAGAAAUUAACUGUAUAUAUUAGGGAGUGGUUUUGUAGAAUUGGAUAGGAAUUAAUUAAAGCAUUAUUAAGGAGGAAAAGAUAGAAAUUAGGUGUUAUUGAGUAUUGGAAAGAGAAAAAAUUAAUUGAGUUAUAGUGAAUUAUUUGUACUGUGAAGGAGUAUUUGAAAUAUAAUGAAUAAUGAGUUGAGUAAAGUAGUUUUAACUGAGUGUACCUUUUGUAUCAGGGUUGAUUAAAAAUUUUAUAGGGAUCUAAUGUUUAUCUCGAUUUGAAAAGUGCAAAUCUAUGUUGUAAGUUAAUGUAGAAUAAUUAUUUAUAAAAAUAGAUUAGAGAUGAAAUGUCAUUCGUUUUUCAAGAUAUCUAGUUUUUUAAGAAAUGAAUUUAAUUCAGUUAUUUAAUUGUAGUAUAUCAUUAAUGGAUUGGUCUAUAAGUUAAGUAAUAAUGACUUGGGGGAUAAGCUCUGAGUUAUAUAUUAUAAUUUUUGGGAAUUAAAGUUAUUUAGGCUUAGAAUUAGCCAUAAUUGGAAAAGUGUUAUAAUUUAAUUUUAUUAUUAAAUAAUUUUGUAUAAUUUAAGGUGUUGAAGAUUAAAAUAAAACACGGAAUUUUAGAGUGUUAGAAAUAAUGAUUAAAUUAGUAUAGGGGAUGAAAUGUAUAGUUGAUGGAUGAAAAACGGAAGGUUGCUUUAAGGAACUAGGCAAAUUAGUGCUCGCCUGUUUAACAAAAACAUGUCUUUAUGAUGAUAAUUUAAAGUCUGACCUGCCCACUGAUAAGUAAUUGAAGGGCCGCGGUAUUUUGACCGUGCAAAGGUAGCAUAAUCAUUAGUCUUUUAAUUGAAGGCUGGAAUGAAUGGUCGGACGAGGCAUUGACUGUCUCAUUGUGAGUGAUUCUAGAAUUUAACUUUUGGGUGAAAAGGCUUAAAUGAGUUUAGAGGACGAGAAGACCCUAUAGAUCUUUAUAUUAAAUUUAUUAUAAAUAGUUUGGUUGGAUGAAUUUUAGGAGUGAAUUUAGUAUUUUGUUGGGGUGACAGGAAGAUAGAGAUAACUCUUUUUUAUUAAAUACACUGAUUUGUGAAAAGUAUGAUCCAUGUUUCGUGAUUAUAAGACUCAGUUACCUUAGGGAUAACAGCGUAAUCUUUUUAGAGAGUUCUUAUCGACAAAAAGGGUUGCGACCUCGAUGUUGGAUUAAGGUAAAGUUUGGGUGCAGAAGCUUGAAUUUUAGGUCUGUUCGACCUUUAAAUCCUUACAUGAUCUGAGUUCAGACCGGCGUGAGCCAGGUCGGUUUCUAUCCUUAAAAUUUGAAAAAUAUUUUAGUACGAAAGGACCAAAUAUUGCAAUUGAUUUGCUAUGAGGGGAUGUUAAAUAACAGUAGA
rnacentral:rRNA from 1 species